CCUACGGGAGGCAGCAGUGAGGAAUAUUGGUCAAUGGGCGCGAGCCUGAACCAGCCAAGUCGCGUGAGGGAAGACGGCCCUACGGGUUGUAAACCUCUUUUGCCGGGGAGCAACGGGCGCCACGUGUGGCGCCACUGAGAGUACCCGGAGAAAAAGCAUCGGCUAACUCCGUGCCAGCAGCCGAGGUAAGACGGAGGAUGCGAGCGUUAGCCGGAUUUAUGGGGUUGAAAGGGUGCGGAGGCGGAGGGCUAAGUCAGGGGUCAAAUUGCGGGGCUCAACCCCUCCCCGCCAUUGAAACUGGCGUUCUUGAGUGGACGAGAAGUAUGCGGAAUGCGUGGUGUAGCGGUGAAAUGCAUAGAUAUCACGCAGAACCCCGAUUGCGAAGGCAGCAUGCCGGCUUCCGACUGACGCUGCAGCACGAAAGCGUGGGGAUCGAACAGGAUUAGAUACCCUUGUAGUC
rnacentral:rRNA from 1 species